UGACUUCUUAGAACUUCUUGUGUUAUUAUUGCUAUAAUUUCAUGAUCAUUUGAAAUAGAUAUUAUUUUUUUAGUUCUUUUUAUCCUAUUAUCUGAAAGAAUCCAAUUUUUCUAUAGACUGAACUUCUCGAUCAUCUGGGAAUUACUCAUUUCUUGAUUUGCCUUUUGGAUAGCUUUAUCAAAGCCCCAUCCAUACCGGCACCUUCACCUUUGGAGGAGAAACUAGUAGACGAAGAUCUAGAUAAAAAAAUUCAUUAUUAACUACUAUUUUUGGUGACCUUCGGACUGUCAAUGAUUUAUGCCAAUGCCACAACAGCCUUCACAAUGGCAUAAGCUGGCAAAAUGACUAUGUGACUUAUGUCAUGCAAAUAUCCCCUGGAACAGAAGUUUCUAGAGAAAUUUCUUUCCUAGGUUUUCUUAUACUAUCCCCCUCCCCUGGCUCUGAUACCAAUAUGAUAUAGUACACACACACACACAUAUAUAUAUAUAUAUAUAUAUUGCUAGUUUAAAUGCAUCCUUUUAAUGCUUAAUUGCUUCUUGCUUCAUGUUUAUAUUCCAUGCUAGGUAGUUUACACUAA
rnacentral:lncRNA from 1 species